rnacentral:rRNA from 1 species
UACGUAGGGUGCAAGCGUUACUCGGAAUUACUGGGCGUAAAGCGUGCGUAGGUGGUUUGUUAAGUCUGUUGUGAAAGCCCUGGGCUCAACCCAGGAAGUGCAUUCGAAACUGCAGAGCUGGAGUCCUGGAGAGGAAGGCGGAAUUCUCGGUGUAGAGGUGAAAUUCGUAGAUAUCGAGAGGAACACCGAUGGCGAAGGCAGCUCGCUGGGACGGUACUGACGCUGAGGCGCGAAAGCGUGGGGGAGCAAACAGG